rnacentral:lncRNA from 1 species
UUUACCAUUUGCUUCAAAACCAACUCAACCUCCCCAAUCAACUUGUCAUUGCAAAGCCCAUGAAUCAACUUCUUGUAAGAUGCAAAACUAGGACUAUUAGCCUCGCAAAUCAUCAUAGCCAUGAAUUCUUUUGCCUCCAAAAACUUCCCGGCAUCAAGCAAACCAUAUAGAACUUCUUGAUAAGACCCUGCAUUUGGUUCGCAUCCCGUGAGCUUCAUUUUCUGCAGCAGCUCCAUCCCAUCUUCAAUCCUUCCUUGUUUCCUUAACCCUGAAAUCAAAAUAUUGAAAGUGAUUGUAUCCGCUUCAAUACCCUCAUUUUCCAUUCUCUCAAGCAAACCAAAUGCCUUAUUCACCUCCCCUUUUGCACAGAAGUAGUGCAUCAGCGUUGAGAAAGUUCUCACAUUAGGCCUGCAUCUUUGUUUGGGAAAUUCGUCGAGCACAUUGAAUGCAAACUGUAAAUCCCCAUUUUCACAUAACCCUUUAAUGAGAAUAUUAAGACAACAAGCAUCAAUUUCUACACCCAAAAUGGGGGCUUUCACAUAUAUCUCAUGAACUACAUAAAAAAGNNNNNNNNNNNNNNNNNNNNNNNNNNNNNNNNNNNNNNNNNNNNNNNNNNNNNNNNNNNNNNNNNNNNNNNNNNNNNNNNNNNNNNNNNNNNNNNNNNNNNNNNNNNNNNNNNNNNNNNNNNNNNNNNNNNNNNNNNNNNNNNNNNNNNNNNNNNNNNNNNNNNNNNNNNNNNNNNNNNNNNNNNNNNNNNNNNNNUUCAAUGGCAUCAAAGUUUUUGGCACAGGCAAGCUGGUUUAUAACAACAGUGAAAAUAGCUUCAUUGGGUUUAUAGUCUUUUCUCUUUGAGUAUUGAUUCCAGAUAGAGAUAACUGAAUCUGGGUCUUUAAUGUCUUCGAAAAUCUUUAAAACUUCAUUUGGAGACAACCAGUCUUUAUGGUUCAGUUUGUAAUGAGUAUGAGGCGGAUGUUGGGUUGACUGCGAAGAAGAUGGUACAGUAGAGCAAGAGAAAAACGAAGGGAAUAUAGAAAUUGGGUGAUGGACAGUGCGUCUUGAAUGAGCUUGAAGAGAGUGAAAGAUUGAUUUGUGAACUAGAAAUGAACGGAAAAGCAUUCUGUUCGUCUUCGAUUUGCAGGCUGGUGGUUUCGUGCGAGAACUUAUGAGUUAGGAUUCCUACCUCGUGCAAACCGCAAAGCAAGCACCGAACGAGUAACCAUUUUUCUCUUAAGCAAAUAAUAUUUUGCGCUAAGCAAGCUUCAAGGAUAUUGAGAAUUAAGCCAUUUUGACAACUUCCAACUGGAAGAUAGUUUCCUUUUUCUUUUUUAUUUGCGCUAUCAUCUGGAUCAGAUUAUGUAUCGGGUCGAGCCGUCAAUUGAUAUCAGAUCUCCUCGGUUAGGUGGAAUUUGCGAGUCUUCCUCAAGUCGGACUUUAUCAUAUCGGGUUGUCAUCCUAUUACCUUCUUGUUGAAUUUAACGCAAAAAUUAAAAAAAUUAUUGAAUCACUUCGAUUUUCAAAAAUAAGUAUAAAAUUGAAAUAUAAUAAUUAAUGUUAUCGUGUACUUAAACUUGUAAAUUUCAGUAAUUUAUGUACUUUCUAUACUAACAAUUUUUGAUUUUUAUACGUAAAAUACCCGUUUAAUUAUAGCUAGCAUAAUUUUUUGUUACUAGGCUCCGUCUAUUUCAAAAAAAAAACUUACUAGAAACUAUUUUUCAAAUAAUUUAUUUUCUGUUGUUCGGUUACAGUAUUGAAAAUUCAUUAAAAAUAUUAAAAUUUUAAUUCAUAAUAAUAAUAAUAAUAAUAAAUUUCAUAUUUUAAAAUUUUUAUUGUUAAAUAUGAGAAUAGUGAAAAAAAUGAUAAAUUAUGAAAGCAUGCUACUAACCGAUGGUCGUAUCCAAUGGUGGUGGUAGCUAUCAAUUAUUAAUAAAUUAAAAAAAUUAGAAAAUUUAUAAUGUUAUAAUAAGUUUGCCAAAUCUAGAAAAUAUUUUACGCCCUUGAAAAUAGAAAGUCAUUUUCCUUAAACAUGAAUUUUUUUUUUUAUUAGGAAAAUAUUUUUUAUUAACUUAUUUUCGUAAAUGCCUCUAGACAACAAUACAUUAUGAAAAAUAUGUUCCAGUAAUUUAUUUUACGCAAAUACCGGAGCCUAAAAAAAAAAUUAUUUUCAUAAUUGCAAGAUAAUCAAGCCAAAUAAGAAAAAGUAUUUUUAUUAGAUGAAAUUGUAACUCACACAUAACCAAUGGAUGAUUAUGAGCAGGCCAAGAAGCAAUUCCAACCUGCCUUCCUCUCAAAAGAGGUGCUAGAGAGAGAGAGAGAUCAACAUUUUGUAAUUUCUUGAAAUUAUUUAAAUUUAUUAUCUAGCCAUUAUAUAAAUAACCUAGAUGUGAACUUGAACAUCAGCCAAUUGACUAAAAUUCAUUGGUGUCAUAUACUUAGCAUCUCCAGUGUAGAGGCUGUCAGCUAACAAUUGAGAAGCUGCUUGAGAUGGAUGAUACAAAUCCCAAAACAAGUACUCACUUCUUCAUUUGUGGGCAGUCAUAAAUAACAACCUCUCCAAGGUUUUGAAGUAGUAGAAGCAACCCAGGUUUGAACAGACUCCUUAUAUUUGAACAACCUUGGAUUUUGAGAACUGUGAGACUGGAAAAGGCACUAGGAAGAACUGAUUGUGGUGUAGCAUGCAAAGAAGAUGAUGUCAUUGCCAGGCUUUCUUUUCCUGAAUUAAAACGAAUUUCAUUCUUCUGUGUUGAAAAAUAGCUCAAGGUUUUGAAAUUGUGGCACCUCUCAAUACUCAGGAACUCAACAUCAAUUGGGACCAAAAGUGAAUCUUCUAUGCCGUCUUCACUGAUGCCAUAAUCAAUUAUUCUUACAACUUUUUUAACUUUUUUGAAGUCUCCAGCUUUAUACAAGUCCUUCUCUCCCAGUUGUAGAAAGUACUUUCUCAGCACUCGGCCAUGCAGAGACCCAACAAGUAUAUUAAAACUAGAUAAACUGUAAGAUUGACAUUCAAUUUUUUCUAUCAUUUUCAAGCCUACCAAUUCCUCACCUUUUACUUUCAAAUUUUUUGAUCUGCACCACAGUCGGAAAUAUUCAAGGCAAGAGAGCUUUGGUAAUAUUCCGAUUGGGAACUCUAGAUCUCGCACAUAGAGAUUAAGAUACCUGAGAUUGAUCAAACUUUCCAUGCCUUCAGGUACAUGUUGGAUUCCAGUAUAUCUAAGAUCCAACUCCCUUAGUGCACCUAGCUUUGCUACAGAAGGCACGGACUGCAAUAAUGCUUAAGAUACAAUGCAACAAGAUUCUCCAAUGUGGAGAUGGAGUUUGGUAAACUCUUAAUUCCAGUAUAAGACAGAUCCAGAAGCCUCAAAACAUGCAUGCAUGAAAAGAAAGAAUCUGGAAUUCUAACCAGAUCUUUAUUCUGUGCCAGUAACAUGGUUUGAAGUUUUGGACAUUUUGGUGACAAUCUAGAAGGAAUUUCUGAUAUGUGAUUGUCAAUCAAGGAUACGCUCUCAAGUUCCUCCGUCCAUCUGUUCGCAUUUGGUAAUUCUCUUAACCGAACUCCAGCUUCUACAAGCAAUUGAUGAUCCAUGCUUUUCAUCUGUAUUACCAUCUCCCUAAUUAGGUCAUGCAUCUUCACAUAUUUCUUAUCACGAAUGCUUUCCAAAAGACAAGCAUUUUCAAGCUUGUUUAGCAUAGCAUAUCCAUUGACAAACUCUGCUUCGCUACUUUUCAUUUUAUCUACUAUUCCUAAACUAAUCAAACGCCUUAUCAGCUGUGUCCUUUUGAUCAAAAAGUCCUCCGGGUAUAAUGCACACAAUAUAUGAGACACUGCCUGAACUUGUCAUCUUUCAAAUGCGCAUAACUAAAUUUUAGCCGCUCAAUCACCUGAUCCAUUUCUUCCCUAAGCCCCUUUGUAGAUUCCCUCAACUCCUCUAGAGCAUUUUGCCAUUCAUAUAUGUCAUCUACGCCCUUCAUACUACCAGCUAUAGUGACAAUUGCAAGAGGCAAGCAGGCACAUUCAUCAGCAACUUGUUUUGCUGUUGCUUCUAAUUCCGGGGUAUUAAAAACUUGAUUUCCAACUUUUUCCACAAAUAAGUUCCAUGCCUCCUCUUCAGUAAGAAGCCCCAUUUUGAUAUCCUUGCAAUCCAUUCUCCGACAAACGUCACGCAAUCGAGUUGUUAAUACUAAUUUGCAUCCAUUAUCAGGUGUAGGCUCAGGAAUUCCUACAUCCUCAAGAUUGAAUGCUUCCCACAUAUCAUCAAGGAUUAACAACCAGUUUUUCGCUUUUCCCAGCCAUUUAAAUAACUUGACAGCCAUUUUUGUUUCAUCCUUACAUUGUGCAAAAUCUCGAUUCAAUGCAGCUGCAAUGUCUUUCUGUAAGUUCCCAAAUUUUAGUGGUUGUGACACUGUCCCAUGUCAACCAAUAGUACCAUAUCUGCAAAUUCGUUCCCAAUCUUAUAAAAACUCGAAGAAAUCACCACUUUCUUUAUAUUAAUAUGCUAUUUUAAGUCUUGGAUAACGCUUCCACCUUUGUCAGGAGCAUCAAUUAAAUAAGCCUUGCCGAUCUCAAAAACUUUAUAAUCCAACGAGUCAAGAACAUCAGGAAACUCAUCAAAAACUCCAUCACCAAACGUAGAAACUUCCAACCAGGUUUUCUUAAAUCGAUCAAAAGGGAACCGGGAGAGUGGGUUUGUAAUAAUAACCUUGCCAGAUUUUGAUUCUUUAGCUCUAACAAUCCAACUCUUGGUACGGUUGGUGAGGGGUUGGAUAGAGUAAAUUGUGUAGAGAUAUUUUAGGCUUGAUUUUAGUAAUCUUUGUGAAAUAGUCAAGCAUAAUUAGUGUCCUUGAUUAUAUGGUCAAUAGCUAAUAAUAAGCUUGUAUCAAUUCAAGCAUAAUUAGUGUCCUUGAUUAUAUGGUCAAUAGCUAAUAAUAAGCUUGUAUCAAUUCUCCUAUAUAUAUUCUUGUAUAUAUACCUUUAAAAAAAAAAAAAUUAGAAUACAAUUUGAUUAUUCUGCUUUUAAUUCAAACUAAUUGUGUAUUCAGUGAGCACAAGAUAGUCGUAGUUGAGAUCAUUGAUUUCAUAAGGUAACUCAAUGAAAUUCAUUUGAUUUUUGGAUCAACCAUAGAAUUCAAACUAUAUAGCUUUACUAACUUGCACUUAAAAUUUAUUAAAUUUACUAGCUUUUGUAUUCCUUCAAGUUUAGAAUUCAUUUGCAAAUUCUAUCAAUUUCGAAAUAAUUUGGUCCAAGCACAACCUAUUCCAUAGAAUUAAACAUAUGGAACUUCAAAUGAAUUUUUAUUUAUACCAAACAUGAAAAAUGGGAUUUAUAAAUGAAUUCCAUAGAAUUUUAUGGAAUUCAUUUACCCCAAACAAGCUCCUGGUGAGCUUUGAGCCUUUUAAGGAUAGAUAAUAGUGUAGCCUAGCUAGAAAAUAAUGCUUGCCUGAGCAUUUACAGAUCCUUGAACAGCUUAUCCUUGUCAGAUUGCAUUAAUUUUAUAGAAACUUGCAGAAAGGUUGAAGGGCAAUCUUAGAGCCAGGUUGAUCCCAUUCCAGUGAUUCCCACCAUUUUUCAUCUUGAACAUAGAUCUGUUCGAGAUUAGGUGGAGCAAAUGCUACACCAUCAACAAUCGGAAGCUCAAGCGGGAGCCUUCUCAUAUUUGGACAUGCAGUAACUGUCAUGUAAAGGAGAGAAGGACAAAGCACCAACCCCAGACAGAUGCUUUUUAAUUCUGGUAGCCUACACAAAGAGAGACUCCUCAAGUUGGGGAGAACAAACCUCAUGGCAAUACCUUUAUUUUCCAUUGGUAAAUGGUUGCUGCUGCUUGCUGCCUGCUCAUCUGUUGUUGUAAAAAACUGCUUCAUUUGUGGGCAGUCAUAAAUAAGAACCUCUUCAAGGUUUUGAAGUAGUAGAAGCAACCCAGGUUUGAACAGACUCCUUAUAUUUGAACAACCUGAGAUUUUGAGAACUGUGAGACUGGAAAAGGCACUAGGAAGAACUGAUUGUGGUGUAGCAAGCAAAGAAGUUGAUGUCAUUGCCAGGCUUUCUUUACCUGAAUUAAAAUGAAUUUCAUUCUUCUGUGUUGAAAAAUAGCUCAAGGUUUUGAAAUUGUGGCACCUCUCAAUACUCAGGUACUCAACAUCAAUUGGGACCAAAAGUGAAUCUUCUAUGCCUUUUUCACUGAUGCCAUAAUCAAUUAUUGUUACAACUUUUUUGAAGUCUGCAGCUGUAUACAAGUCCUCCUCUCCCAGAUGUAGAAAGUAAUUUCUCAGCACUCGGCCAUGCAGAGACCCAACAAAUAUAUUAAAACUAGAUAAACUGUAAAAUUGACAUUCAAUUUUUUCUAUCAUUUUCAAGCCUACCAAUUCCUCACCUUUUACUUUCAAAUUUUUUGAUCUGCACCACAGUCGAAAAUAUUCAAGGCAAGAGAGCUUUAGUAAUAUUCCGAUUGGGAACUCUAGAUCUCGCACAUAGAGAUUAAGAUAGCCGAGAUUGAUCAAACUUUCCACGCCUUCAGGUACAUGUUGGAUUCCAGUAUAUCUAAGAUCCAACUCCCUUAGUGCACCUAGCUUUGCUACAGAGGGCACGGACUGCAAUCGUUUGCAAUGCUUAAGAUACAAUGCAACAAGAUUCUCCAAUGUGAAGAUGGCGUUUGGUAAAUUCUCAAUUCCAGUACAAGACAGAUCCAGAAGCCUCAAAACAUGCAUGCAUGAAAAGAAAGAAUCUGGAAUUCUAACCAGAUCUUUAUUCUGUGCCAGUAACAUGGUUUGAAGUUUUGGACAUUUUGGUGACAAUCUAGAAGGAAUUUCUGAUAUGUGAUUGUCAAUCAAGGAUACGCUCUCAAGUUCCUCCAUCCAUCUGUUCUCAUUUGGUAAUUCUCUUAACCCAACUCCAGCUUCUACAAGGAUUUGACGAUCCAUGCUUUUCAUCUGUAUUACCAUCUCCCUAAUUAGGUCAUGCAUCUUCACAUAUUUCUUAUCAGGAAUGCUUUCCAAAAGACAAGCAUUUUCAAGCUUGUUUAGCAUAGUAUGUCCCUUGUCAAUCUCUGCUUCGCUACUUUUCAUUUUAUCUACUAUUCCUAAACUAAUCAAACUCCUUAUCAGCUGUGUCCUUUUGAUCAAAAAGUCCUCGGGGUAUAAUGCACAAUAUAUGAGACACUGCCUGAACUUGUCAUCUUUCAAACGCGCAUAACUAAAUUUUAGCCGCUCAAACACCUUACCCAUGUCACUAAGCCCCUUUGUAGAUUCCCUCAAUUCCUCUAGAGCAUUUUUCCAUUCAUAUAUGUCAUCUACGCCCUUCAUACUAACAGCUAUAGUGAUAAUUGCAAGAGGCAAGCAGGCACAUUCAUUAGCAACUUGUUUUGCUGUUGCUUCUAAUUCCGGGGUAUUAAAAACUUGAUUUCCAACUUUUUCCACAAAUAAGUUCCAUGCCUCCUCUUCAGUAAGAAGCCCCAUUUUGAUAUCCUUGCAAUCCAUUCUCCGACAAACGUCAAGCAAUUGAGUUGUUAAUACUAAUUUGCAUCCAUUAUCAGGUGUAGGCUCAGGAAUUCCUACAUCCUCAAGAUUGAAUGCUUCCCACAUAUCAUCAAGGAUUAACAACCAGUUUUUCUCUUUUCCCAGCCAUUUAAAUAACUUGACAGCCAUUUUUGUUUCAUCCCCAUAUUGUGCAAAAUCUCGAUUCAAUGCAGCUGCAAUGUCUUUCUGUAAGUUCCCAAAUUUUAGUGGUUGUGACACUGUCACCCAAAUCACUUUAUCAAAUUUGUCACGGCCUCUUUGGAGUCUGUUGUUGAUAUGCUUCAUAAUGGUUGUUUUUCCAACACCACCAAUGCCAUAAAUUCCAACCUUUCUAACAUCAUUAUCCAUCAAGCAGGUCCAAAUUUCUUCCAUCUUGCUUUUGGCUGUUUCACCUACUAAUGUUGUUACAGGUAAGAUCUCUCCAACAUCUGCAGGUUCAUCAAUCAUCAAACUGUCACCAAAAUCACCCUUUUGACGAAGAUCCUCCACUUCUUUUAUCUUCUUAAAAACACGUUUUGCCAAGCGUGCACGUGAAAGAUAUUUCCGCUUCGCAACUUCUUGCUCAAUUGCAAAAGUUUCACGUUUGAUAGUCUCUAUAUUUUGCAACCAAAGCUCAACCUCUUUUUUAAGUAAUUUCCCUGGAAUAAGCUCUGCACGUAAUCUUGAAUCUACAUCUUCCUUCCGACUGUUUAGUUCAUUCACUUCCCUUCUCAAAUCACUCAUAUGUUGGUCCAUGUGUCUAUGAUAUUCCCAGCAAGUUCCUACUGGAGUCCAUAACUUGUUUACAAGUUCUAUAACUGACCCAGCAAGCUCCAUCUACAGAUCGAUGCAUAAGAGACAAUAUUUUACAAGUCGUUGAUCAAAAAUCAAACAAAAGAAUUUAACCAUAAAAUUUGUUUAUUUACUAUUAGCAAUCCAUUAAGAAUCCAAAAAUUUCAUGAAGAAGGGUCAAAGGAAUCAUCUAGGGGGAAAAAGCUACUUUUACAUUAAGAGACAAAGAUUUCAAGAAUCAAAGACACGACUUUCUUCUUCAACUACUUCUUCUAAGUUAUAUUUUGAUGCAUAAGGGCAAAUAUUUUGUAAGUCCUUGCUGAAAAAUCAAACAUAAGAAUUUAAUCAUAAAAUUUGUUUAGUUACUAUUAGCAAUCAAUCAAGAAUCAGAAGAUUUCAUGAAAAGCAGUCAAAAGAACCUUUUUUGGGUGGAGAAAAAGCUACUUUUACAUCAUGAAACAAAGAUUUCAAGAAUCAAACACUCAACUCACUUCUUCAACUACUAGUUGUAAGUUAAUAGCAUUGCAAUUAGCCAUUUAAAAUUCUUCAACUAGUAACCACAAGAAUCAAAGCAAAAUAAUGACAGGUAGAUCCAGAUCUGCAAGUUUUCAGAAUAAAUGUACCUGAUUGAUGGAUCUUAACUUUGAUUUAUUUUAAGUACCACAAAAACUCCCUUGCCAGUGUCUCCUCCCUUUUAAGAAUUUGAGAAUAGAAAAUUGAAUUUUCUUGUUUGCGGGAAAAAAACGGUUCACUGAAUCAGUAAGAGGAAGAUCAGUAGCAAAUUCCUUGUUGUGUAAAGGAAACAAUAUAAUACAAUAUUCUGACUGAAAAUAACCACCGACUAUUUUAAGAGUAGAAAUAUUUGUCGUGAGGCCUUUGAAAAGUAAAGCUAUAAAAUUCGUCUUAGCACUUUGUAGUUGUACCCCUCCUCUGUUAUGAAGCUUAGCAGGCGCGUGGGUUUGUAGACAUUGAGUCAGUAGUAGCCGCCUUGUACCACAUAAAAAUCUUCUAUAGAUUGCAUAUCUAGCUGAUAUUUUACACCAGACACCAUUUAAGCUGAUAUUGGGUCCACAAAUUUCAGGCCAGCUGUAAGCCUUUGAUUAUUAAAAAAAAAACAAAAAAAGAACUUGGCCACUAACUGUCUAACUCUAUGGCAUAGAUUAAAAAAAGAACUAAAAAAUUAUAGGAUUAAUCACAUUAAUGGUGUUUGAACUUCUGCAAUAUUCUUGUCGGUGCAACAGUAACUUUUUAAGCAAAUAAAUAUAUACAAUAUAUCAAACCUGGAAAAAAAAACAAGCACUUGCUGUGGGAUCCCUCUGACAUAUGGGACCCACUUAAGCUUGUAGAAAAAAACACAAAAAGGAAGAAAUCCAUGUUUUUUUAAAAAGUCAAAUAAGGCUGCGAGAAAAAAAAAAAGGACAAGCACGUUCAGUCAUAGACACGUAAUUAAUGUGUCUCUUUUCUUAUAAAUAGGAGAAGAUUUUUCCUCGUCAAUAUACAACAGAAAGAAAAAAAUGGAGAGAGAGAAUUAUCUAGUUUUAGGAAAGGUUUCCUAAAACUAGAGGAGAGAAAAAUAGUGAUGAAAUUAUUAUGGAGGGUUUUUUGGAAAACACUUGGAGUGCCACUAUUUUUGUAUUGCUCUCUUUGUAUACCUACUAUUUUUAAUAGUGGAGGAAUUAUUUAUUCGGAAUUUAUCUUGUGAACGUAGCUCUAAACAGUUAAAGGUAAACUACGUAAAUUUCUGCGUGUCUCAUUUCUAUUUUUUCGCUUUUCUUUUAAUUCUUUGUGUGAGCGCCCAACAAGCAGUAUCACAAGAGGCCCAACGGCACUUACUAAUUGAUUUUCCUUCUCGUUCAGAAAACAGACUGACUUGCAAGAAUCUUGCAGACCAAAUUUGCAUUUCAUUGAAUAAUAUGUUGUCUAUAGAAAAGGUAAGGGAUAUAGAAGUCGAAAUCUCUGCAGAAAUUUAUGUUGAAUAAAAACGAAAAGGGAUCAAAUUUUACUGUUUGUACAUUGAUCAGUUCCGUAUGAGUUGAGUAGCCAUAUGAUCGUAUAUCAUCAGAACUGCAAAGGCAGAACAGCAAACUGCCGUCCACUGAUCACGUGCAACUCAGAUAGUUCCUCGUUGAAGCACAAAUGGAUAUCAUCAGAACAAGCUCGAUUUUUAUAUGGCCAAGCAAGUAUCUGAUGUUGGAAAGCAUGACGGGGAAAAUCUUCAGCUAGAAUCAGAUGAUCACAUCAAAGACUGCUCUAAUCAGCCAAUAUAUUGUUGUUGUUUCAUUAGGUGAUCCUUUCAGGCAUAUUCCGGCAAAUAACAAACGUCAACUUCUGGUAAGCAUAAAUUCAACACAAAAGGUUCAGUGAUGCUAGCCAUUGACAAUCUCACUAAUACAGAUAUUAGAAGCAGCAGUCCUUGAAAAUAAACUUCUUAGAAUCUCUCUCCACAUCCCCAUUUUUGGAACAAAACCUUGUUUCACCAUUUGCUUCAAAACCAACUCAACCUCCCUAAUCAACUUGUCAUUGCAAAGCCCAUGAAUCAACUUCUUGUAAGAUGCAAAACUAGGACUAUUAGCCUCACAAAUCAUCAUAGCCAUGAAUUCUUUUGCCUCCAGAAACUUCCCGGCAUCAAGCAAACCAUAUAGAACUUCUUGAUAAGACCCUGCAUUUGGUUCGCAUCCCUUGAGCUUCAUUUUCUGCAGCAGCUCCAUCCCAUCUUCAAUCCUUCCUUGUUUCCUUAACCCUGAAAUCAAAAUAUUGAAAGUGAUUGUAUCCGCCUCAAUACCCUCAUUUUCCAUUCUCUCAAGCAAACCAAAUGCCUUAUUCACCUCCCCUUUUGCACAGAAGUAGUGCAUCAGCGUUGAGAAAGUUCUCACAUUAGGCCUGCAUCUUUGUUUGGGAAAUUCGUCGAGCACAUUGAAUGCAAACUGUAAAUCCCCAUUUUCACAUAACCCUUUAAUGAGAAUAUUAAGACAACAAGCAUCAAUUUCUACACCCAACAUGGGAGCUUUCACAUAUAUCUCAUGAACUACAUAAAAAAGCUUUGCAGAUACUAGCAUAUUCAACACAAGAUUAAAAGUUUUCACAUUUGGCCAACAAUUAUACCCUUUGGGCAUAUCUAGAAGGGUUUCUAUUGAUUUCUUGAUU